CCAGACUCCUACGGGAGGCAGCAGUCGGGAAUAUUGCGCAAUGGAGGAAACUCUGACGCAGUGACGCCGCGUGCAGGAAGAAGGUUUUCGGAUUGUAAACUGCUUUAGACAGGGAAGAAACAAGACAGUACCUGUAGAAUAAGCUCCGGCUAACUACGUGCCAGCAGCCGCGGUAAUACGUAGGGAGCAAGCGUUAUCCGGAUUUAUUGGGUGUAAAGGGUGCGUAGACGGAGAAGCAAGUUAGUUGUGAAAUCCCUCGGCUUAACUGAGGAACUGCAACUAAAACUACUUCCCUUGAGUGCUGGAGAGGAAAGUGGAAUUCCUAGUGUAGCGGUGAAAUGCGUAGAUAUUAGGAGGAACACCAGUGGCGAAGGCGACUUUCUGGACAGUAACUGACGUUGAGGCACGAAAGUGUGGGGAGCAAACAGGAUUAGAUCCCCGCGUA
rnacentral:rRNA from 1 species